UACGUAGGUGGCAAGCGUUGUCCGGAUUUACUGGGCGCAAAGGAUGCGUAGGCGGACAUUUAAGUCAGAUGUGAAAUACCCGAGCUUAACUUGGGUGCUGCAUUUGAAACUGGGUGUCUAGAGUGCAGGAGAGGUAAGUGGAAUUCCUAGUGUAGCGGUGAAAUGCGUAGAGAUUAGGAAGAACACCAGUGGCGAAGGCGACUUACUGGACUGUAACUGACGCUGAGGCAUGAAAGCGUGGGGAGCAAACAGG
rnacentral:rRNA from 1 species